GCCGGGGGGCUGGAGGUGCCGCCUUUCUUCCGGCCCGGCAAACUGAGAGGAGGAAGCAAGAGGAAGCGGGCGGCUCUCGCGAGGGUUUAUCCAGCGCCCCGCCAGUUGUAUGGGGGUUCUUAAAGGGCGAGACGCCGGAGUCAUCAUCUUCUGCGUCCCUCUUCUUUGAACAGAAGUGGGCGUCUGAAGCUCUGCGACGCAAAGCUGGACCCUCGGGUCCGGACGCGCGCGGUGGGGAAUGGCGCCCGAGGAGCCUUCAAAGUAAGCCCUUCAAGCCUCGCGGCUUCAUCGGUGACGAAGUGCUCUGGCCUGAGUGCGUCACGGCUGCGCCAACAAAUGUUCCGUCUCGACCAGCGAUUCGGAAUAGGGGCCUGUCCGGCUCCAGAGUGGACUCUCACCCUCAGGAGCGAAACCGGCAUGUUGCCUGUGGCCGCAGUGCUUGGGACUUUGUGGGGUUGAAGAAACAGGGGCUGCCGGAGAUCACAUAGGUGGCCAGUGUAGAGGGAAAAGCUACCUGCAAUGCUGGUAUUCCAUAUGGGCCCUGUUCAAGUCCUGGCUGCUCCACUUCUGAUCCAGCUCCUUGCUAAUGGCCCAGGAAAAGCAGCAGAUGACCCAAGUGUUUGGGUCUCUAUCACCCACGAGGGAGAUCUGAAGCUCAAGCUCCUGGCUCCUGGUUCAAGUGUGGCCCAGCCAUAGCCGUUGUGACCAUCUGGGGAGUCAGAUAGAUCUCUCUCUCCUUUUCCUUCAUAUAUUGUUAUAGUAGCACAAAAUGGACCAAGAUGGUGUUUGUUCUGGUCAGUAUAAUUUUCUUUACUGGUUCUGGAAAACCUCAGGCAGGCUACAUUUCUAUUUUUUAAAAACAUUUUCAUUUUUAUUUUAAAGGCAAAGAGAGAUCUUCCAUUAGCCAGGGCCGGGACAGCUGAAGCCAGGAGCCUGGAACUUCCAUCUGGGUCUUCCACAUGGAUGGCAGGGACCAAACUGAGCAUCUCCUUCACCCAGGAUGCACAUUCAGGGUAAACUGGAUGAAAAGCAAAUGAGCUGGGACUCAUAUCAGACACUCCCAUUAAGGAACGUGAGCAUUCCAAGCAGCAGUUUUAACUGGGUUCUUCAUAGGUUGUCUCCAAUACUGAGAUGAGAAUGCUGAUUUGUGUAUGUGUUCGGCACUGGGAAACGGCAGUGAAGCAAAGUUACUCAUGGAGGUUGCAUUUUACGACAAUAAAUUGAUACUACCAUGGCCAAAGAGGAGAACAAGAAAAUAGGAAAUGAGAGGGACUUGAGGAGGGUUUAUUUAAUGAUAGGUCAUAACAUUAUGCAAAAAGUGAGUGAACCAAGUUGAAAUCUGGAGGUAAAGGCCGCCAAGAUAAAUUGAGAGAGGGGGAAACACCAGAGCACAUGAAGCUUGUGGUCAGAGGCCUUUGGCAGAGCUUUCAGCAGGAGUCACAGCUAUCUGAAUGCUGUGGGAAAGACCCAGGGUAUAAACAGAAGCCCAGUUAAAACUGGAAUCAUCCAGGUGGCAAUGUAACACUAAACGGAGUAGGAGUGGUGAUUCUGGAUGUUAAAAUUUGCUGAUUCCAGGCUCUUUUAACUUUGUGCAACCCUAAGAAACAUUAACUUUUGAGAUGGCUAAGGCCAAUUAGGAAAAGAGGAAGAGAGAAAUCACAAGUUACUUUUGGGAUGAACACUAAAAAUAAAACCAAACGAUUUGGUUUUGCCUUUUGUGAUGGGUAUUUUAUAAUGACCCUUUGACUAGUUGAUGGUAUGCCAGGUACCUGAUUCAGCAUUUCUGGGUGUCUAUGGGGGCACUUCCCUACAAGAUAAAAGUGCUAAACUGGGAUGAAGCAGACUGCCUAUUUCAAUGCCGGCAGGCCAUUAUUCAGUUAAAAGGCCCAGACAGAACAAAACAAAACAAAACCAAAAAGCAGAAUUUGGGAUUCUGUUAGACAUAAUACCAUAGUGUUCCCCAUGCCUAGUACUUUAAGAUUUUUAUUUAUUCAAGAGGCAGAGCUACAUGGAAAGGGACAGAAAGAAAGGUCCUCGAUCUGCUGGCUAACUCCAUAGAUAGCUGCAGCAGCUGAAGCUGGGCUGACCCAGAGCUGGGAGCCUCCUUCGCUCUUCUGUGUGGGUGCAGGGGCCCUAGCAUCCAGGCCAUCCUCCACUGCCCUCCCACGGCACUGGCAGAGCACUAGCUGGGGAAAGAGCAGCUGGGAUGUGAACCAGUGCCUGCAUGGGACUCUGGCAGCACAGGCAGAGGCCCAGCCUACUAUGCCACAGCAAUGGCUUUUAGGAAUUUAACCUUUUAAAAAAUGUAUUUUGGUUUCAAAGACAGAAACAAAUCUAUCUGCUGGCUGACUUCUCAAAUGGUGCCAACAGCUGGGGCUGAGCCAGGCUAAAGGGUUUUCCACAUGGGUGUCAGGGAUCCAAGUACUUGAGCCAGCACUACUGAUUCUCAGCAUAUGCCUUGGCAGGAACAAGAAACUGGAACCACAGGUGAACUCAAACACAGAUACUGUGACACACAAUGUAGGUGUCCCCAUCUGCAUUUUAACUGGUGUGCCAAACAAAUGCCCAGGUACCUGGAAUUUUACACAGGUUUUCUUAUGUUGCCAGCUUAAAAUAGACUCCUCAGCUUCUAUAAUUAUGUUGAGCCAUCUCUAUUUUUUGGGGGAAUCCUAGUAUGCCUUUAUUGAUGAUAUAACAUAUAUUGAUAAUAUAGCUGAAAAUCUGAAGCACAGAAUAAUUUUCAGAAGCAUCUUUUAUGUGAGUAUUGAUGAACACUCAAUUUUCAGGAGUGUUAAUUAUUGUCUGAUCAUUUCCUUAACAUUGGAAUCUGAUUUCUUAAAUUGGUUUUUUAAAAGUUCAAUUUCUAGGUAUCUCUACACAGCAGUAUAAAAAGGAGACAUUAAGUUUCAUGAUUUAAGUCCAUUUUCUUGAUAAAGGUUCUUUUAGUCACAGUAUGGUAAUCCAUAAAACUGGAAGAAUAAUUCUUAAGUUGGUAAUUCUUAAUGCUUAACAGGGUGUGCAAAAAAAUACCUAGCCACUUUCUGUUUCUUAAGCAGUCAACGUGAUCAUUACAGAAUCUGGACAACCAGGAAACUCAAAAUGGGAAAGAAAUAGGGAAGGAACCUAUUAUUUUGGAGACACUAAAACCUUAACUUCAAACUAACUAUUGGUUAGCAGUUUCUUUGAUGUAAGCCAGUUCUGUUUGGACUUUUUGGUGGUUAGAGGUAACCCGAAAAUAGUAGCCCUACGUUAGAUGGUGUUUCAAGAUUCACAAUUUAAAACUGGGAAACCAGUUCUGCCCAUGUUGAUACUCAGCAUUAGAAAAUCUUGUUUCCUCCAUUGAGAAAACGAGUCAUGUCAUAUCCUUAAAGCUCAAUCACAGAGCCUCAAUUCUAAAAAACAAGAGAUAAGAAUGUGUUUCAUAUUUAUUAAAAAAAAAAAAAAAAAAAGUUGGAUCCAAAGAACAACCUCAGGGAUGGAGGUGGCAGGACACAGACCCAUAGGUAGCUAGAAAAGUAUGCCUUAGGGAAAUUUAGGGAGCCUCAUUACUACCUUGUUUUAGAUGCUAUUUAAGUAGCUAGCUUAGUUUUCCAUUCUUCUGUCCCACCCACUUACAAACACGGCACAGCUACUGGCUUGCCUAGUAAGGCCUCAGUUAAAGGACCCCAUUUACACAGAUUCGGUAUAGCAGUACUUCUAACAUAAAAAGAUCUCAUCCCCAGUCUUGUUCUAGAUCUUUGGCUGACUAUCUUUAUUGUUGUGUGUGAGAUGGUUUCACCCCUUGAACACACAAAGCCAUGUUAAGUCUUUAUAGUUAUCAAUAAAUUGUACUGCCCUCUCUUACAUGCAGCUAAAAAAUGGUGACAGGCCAGGACAAAACACAGUGAAUGCUAUACUGUUGCAAUUAUCACCCAUUAAACGAUCAUUUGCUAAUAACGGUCACUAAAUUUAUAUAUUAAAGAAAUUAUAUAUAGAAUACUGCAAAAACACAGUAAAAAGACUGAAGUUUGCUCAUUUCUGCUCAGGAAGUCCCUUCAAUCCCAAGCUUCAUCAUAUGCCAUCUUUUCAGCUUCAAAAUUUACUGCUGUUACUACUGCUUCUCCUCCUUUUGAUCCUCCUUUUGUUCCCCAGUGCCAGAACUCCCAGAGCCUUCUCGCUCGGAUGCCAUCUGUUGAGAGAAUAUUAGAGAACCACUUAACUUCAGGGCUAACAGUUUGUUUUCUGUUGUACGCAAAUGAAAAAUAUUCUUAUACAUUAUUGGUGGUUCCUGCAAUUCCUUUUCUGAUACUAUCUUCACUUCCAAACUAGAGUCAAGAAGGCAAGAGACUAUUUCCAAUUUCAGCACACCCUCUCAGUUACAUACAUGUCUAUGAAAGGAGCAGGAACCCACAAGUGACAGUAAUCAAGAACAGUUACAAUUACCUAGGGAUCCAAACAACCCUUCAGCGUGUGUACCUUUUUGUAUGCCAUUUCGAAGAGCUUCAAUGAUGCCUGCUGAAGGGAAGAUGCUGCCUGCCUAAUGUUUUCUCCUGUUUCGCUGUCUUUUCGAGCCAGGAGCUCCCUCAUUUUGGAAAUCUCUUCUUUUAGCUUGUUGCACUUAAAAACAGAAAACAAAAAUUCUUGCUUUUCCAGGUCUCCUGUCAUGUCACAUCUAGCAGUAAUCAGAAACAUUUUUAAUUUUUUUUUUUAAUUUAUUUGACAAAUAGUUUGUCUAGAGAGAGACAGAGAGAAAGGUCUUCCCUCCAUUGGUUCACCCCGCAAAUGGCCACCACAGCCAGAGCUACGCAGAUCCGAAGGCAGGAGCCAGUUGCCUUCCCCGGUCUCCCAUGUGGGCGCAGGGGCCCAAGCACCUGGGCCAUCCUCCACUGCCCUCCCAGGCCACAGCAGAGAGCUGGACUGGAAGAGGAGCAGCUGGGACUAGAACCCAGUGCUCAUAUGGGAUGCCGGUGCUGCAGGCGGAGGAUUAGCCAAGUGAGCCACAGCGCCGGCCCCUAGAAACAUUUUUUUUUUUUUGACAGGCAGAGUGGACAGUGAGAGAGAGACAGGUCUUCCUUUGCCGUUGGUUCACCCUCCAAUGGUCACCGCAGCCAGUGCGCUGCGGCCGGCGCACCGCGCUGAUCUGUUGACAGGAGCCAGGUACUUAUCCUGGUCUCCCAUGGGGUGCAGGGUCCAAGGACUUGGGCCAUCCUCCACUGCACUCCCUGGCCACAGCAGAGAGCUGGCCUGGAAGAGGGGCAACCAGGACAGAAUCCGGCGCCCCAACCAGGACUAGAACCCGGUGUGCCGGCGCCGCAAGGUGGAGGAAUAGCCUAGUGAGCUGCGGCGCCGGCCCCCAGAUACAUUUUUAUAAAGCUAAAUCCCUAUUAAGACCCACAGUAAAGUGAACUUCACUGACACUGUUAAUGCUUCCUCCAUUAUUCCUUAUUUUAAGAUAGAAAUCACCUCAUCAGCAGGCAACUGGUCCUUGAAUUCUUCCAUCUUGGUUUCUGUGUCAUGAAUGAUUCCUUCAGCCAUAUUAACUGCUUCAACCCGUUCCUUAGAGAAAUUAAAAGUUUAAUCAACCAAAGUUUUCUAAACAAGAUAAGCUUUCUACUGCAUACAGGGUAAAAACACUUAAGAGGCAAAAAUAAUUAUUGUCUGAGGUAAUCUGGAAUAGAUUUGAGAGAGCUGGAGUCUUAAAUAUGAGAAUUUCUGGCAGAGGGGCCAUUCCACCCUUAAGUUAUCACAGUCAAAACAGAAGGAAAAGCUAAACAGAAAUAUGCCCAGUAUCAUGUCUAGUCUUCCAUUUUAAUGUCCUAUCUUUGCUAAAAUUAAGCACUAAGAAUAAAGGCAAAAAGUUAUCACCUUCUUUCGCCGGUCUUCCUCAGCAUACUUUUCUGCAUUUUUAACCAUAUUUUCAAUGUCAUCUUUGCUUAAUCCACCUGAAGACUGGAUUACAACUACAGUAAAAAGAAGCCAUCUCAUUAAUUCCCAGACAAAAAAUAUAUACCUCUUUGUUCUCUACUGCCUCAAGAAAGAGUAUGUCUUCUCAUAGCUGAUCUUGAUGCAAAUUAUGAAGAGUAACUCAGGCAGGUGUUGUGGUUUAAGUGGGUAAAGCUGCCACCUGCCAUGCCAGCAUCCCAUAUGAGCACAGGUUCACAUCCUGGCUGUUAUACUUCCGAUCCAGUUCCCUACUGAUGGGAGAAGCCAUGCAGAAUGACCCAGGUUGUUUGGGCCCCUGCCACUCUUGUGGGAGACCUGGAUGGAGAUCUUGGCUCUUGCUUGGCCCAGUCCUGGCCUUUGCAAGCCAUCUGGGGAGUGAAUCAGCUAACGGAAGAUCUGUUUCUCCCUUUCUAUGACUUGUAAUUAUCAUACAAAUAAAUCUUAAAAAAAAAAAAAAAAAAAGUAAUUCCCUAAUGUCCAAUAAUAAGCAAAAGGAAACAAAAAAACCUAACUUAUCUUUAGAACAUGUGGCCUACAUGCCUACUGAAACACCACUACAGGUAUAAAAGGGACUGAAAGGAUGGACUCAUUAUCCUUCCCCAGAGUCUGGGAGAAUAAGAUGUGAAUAACAGGUUCUAUUUCUCAACAGGGGUCCCUCAACUAUGAGUCUGAUUAAUAAGGACUUACUCUGCUGCUCACGUCCUGUGCCCUUAUCUUUAGCAGAAACAUGUACAAUCCCAUUGGCAUCAAUAUCAAAUGUAACUUCAAUCUGAGGGACUCCUCGAGGUGCUGGAGGAAUUCCAAUCUAAAAUAAGUAAACAAAGACUCAGAAUAAGCUCAUCUCAUGAGUCCAAUCUUCUAAUUCCAAAUAGGCAAUCUUUUCUAGUAAACAAAUUACUUAGUUCCUAGGUAGAACAAGUGAUACCAUCACUUAAUAUACAUAAACACAGGUUUUUAAGUGAGGGCAGUAGUUUCAUUGGUGCCUGAAAUCAUCAGGGGUUAUAACCACAGAAGGUCAACUACACGAAGUAGUCACAGUGGCUAUACUGGACUCAGCGAUGGUAAAUGACAGCAAACUUCCCUUCUGUUGUUUGUAGCACCAAAAACCAAUAAGAAAUGCUGAUCAGAAGUACCAAAUGUCUUUUAAGUGAGUAGUCAGGAAUUCUCUGAUUUAAGUGUUGUUUUUUUAACUUUUCUCUGGCUCUUUAUAAACUUAAUAGAGCAAGGUUUUUCAGGUAAAAACUGAAGUCAUAUCUAGUUCCACAAUCUGUCUGCAUACCUUUUCAAGAUAUGCUGUACCUCAGCAGUUUAUAGUAUUCUUUUCAGGGGUUAGCCUACAUUUACAUGAGGAAAUUGAGCACAAUUCAGGAUUCAUUAAUACGUACCAAAGUGAACUGUCCAAGAAGUUUGUUAUCUCCAGCCAUCUCUCUCUCCCCUUGACAUACUUUAAUCUCGACUUGAGUCUGCCCAUCAGCAGCAGUAGAAAACACCUACAAGAAGAAAAUUUCCUGAGUUGGCAAUGUGAUUAAACUAGUCCCCUUAUACAGACAAAAGGCAAGCAAGACAAAGAAAUUCACAUCCCAACAUUGGAAGGAUCCUAAUACACACUAUAUUCAGAAAAAAAUGCCCAUCUUUACAGGGAAGAAGAGUAAGAUUAGUACAGCAAAAGGACAGACAAUAGCUACUGCUUUGUAGCAUUAGCAGAGAGGGGCUCAAGACAAGGUGGUGAAAUGCUGAAACGUGCUAUCUGGGAAACAGGUGAUGUAUGCACUCAGUUCAGGAAGCCACCACACACUUCUUCAGGAUGACAUGUUGAAAAACACUACAAAAAUACAGCAACAGCCACAGUUCUUCAGAAAAAAAGACUGGGAAAGUGAGGAAAUAAUAAUUUAUGAUAGGCCCAGCCAUGUCUAAAUGGCCCUGCUUGGUAUCUGAGAUCCCCACCCUCAUUUACCCACAUACAAGCAUACUCCCCUUGUCUAUGCCAGGGUAUGCUUUUUACUGUCCUCGAAUACAGAAGACUACAGAACAUUCAGUCCCAAACUAUGAGCCUCCUUUUAGCAAAUUACGUUCAUGUUGUGAAGGAGAGGCUACUGAUGCCCUCCCUAUAGAAUCACUGCUAGCUGACAAAUAAUGAACUUCUCCCAAACAAAAAGUUCUCACCACCCUCAGUCAACCAGUCUGGACCACAAACAGAAAGCAAGUUUUUCUUCUAAAAAGGCUCACAAAAGUGGCUGCAAAGGUUGGUGUUUGGCCUAGUGGUUAAUUUGGAAUACCCACAUCCCACGCGAGUGUCUGGAUUCAAGCACCUGUUCCAUUCCAGAUUCCAGCUUCUUGCUAAUGUGCUCCUGGGAGUUAGCAGGCAGUAGCUCAAGUAGCUGGGUCCCUGCCACCCACUAGGGAGUCCUGGAUUAUGGCUUUGGCAGGUCAAGGUGCUAGGAGUUAUGGGACUGGUUCACUCCUCAAAUAACAAGGUAGGAAAGGGUGGCUCUUACCUGGCUCUUUUUGGUUGGAAUAGUGGUGUUCCUGUUAAUAAGCUUGGUGAAGACACCUCCUAGAGUCUCAAUACCCAGAGACAGGGGAGUGACAUCCAGGAGCAGCACAUCUGUGACAUCACCAGCCAAUACGCCUCCUUGAAUAGCAGCUCCAAUAGCCACAGCUUCAUCAGGAUUGACAGCUUUACUUGGGGCUCGGCCAAAAAGAUCCUGCACAGUCUGCUGGACCUGGGCAACAGAAGAAAGAAUCUAUUAUCCAACAUCGAGGGUAACUGCCUGAAGAGUGAGAGCGCACGCAUGUGUUAAGACCUCAACGAAAUCUCAAGGCAGGCUAAUUCAGAUCCAACAAUGUUUACUCAAAUUACUGGUUCACAGCUCAGAUCUUGUUAAAGAUCCAGUAAUACGUACUUUACUCAUCAUCUGAAAUGGUAAAAUGGGACAUAUAUGUAUAUAUAUAUAGUAUACUCCAAGUUCUCUUUUACACAAUUAAAGGAAGCCAUAGAAAUAAUGCAAUACUGUUACCAAUGACAUGGUUAUCCCUCCUGUUUAUCGUAUUAGGGUUAAAAAAAAGUGUAUUUAAAUAGUACCUGGGAAAACUUAACGUAAAAGGCUCUAGCUCAGAGCCUUUAAUUUUCUUAGGUUUAUCCUGUGCAUAUUUCCAGGCCUACAUAUUUCAAAGGAAAAAUAAAAAAUAUAGGGUCUUAACUCCAGCCUAGGAUAAUUAUGAUCAGACUUCAACAGGUUUGUGCUCAGUCAUUAGUUCUCCACACAUCUGUGAGUUCAGAAUGAUGUGUUGUUAAAUAAAAUGCAUCACUGCACAAAAUCUGUUGAAGAGAUAGUAAGGCACAGUGUACAAAGACACAUGUCUAAAGACCCUCAGGGCUUGUGACCAGCAUUCCAAUCUCAGACCUUAAACUUUUUUUUUAAUACCAACUAAAAAAAAAGGCAGAACAGAAACCUUAAGUGAGGAUACAAUCUUAUUCUUCUUUCAAGCCACCCUGGUAAAAAGAGCAACAUGCUUACAUCUGCAAAAUAGGCCACCUGUCCCAGAAGUGUUUUAUGGGGUAACCCUCUUUUCUAUGUCAAAAAUUCCAUGGGUCCAUACCUUGGGCAUCCUAGUCAUGCCACCAACAAGAAUCACUUCUCCUAUGUCACUCUUGCUAACUUCUGCAUCUUGCAUAGCUUUCUGGCAUGGAGCCAUAGUCCUCUUGAUCAGAUCUGCAACAAUUCCCUCAAAUUGAGCCCGGGUCAACUUCAUGUUCAAAUGCUUGGGUCCGGAAGCAUCCAUUGUAAGAUAUGGCAAGUUGAUGUCGGUCUGCAGAAGAAAUGUUUUAUCAUUCAGUGUGAGACAAAUGGUGGUUACAUUUUAUUAUUUUAAAAUUAAGACCAUACACUAGGACAGGCUUGAAAAGCCAUAGCAAUGAUCAAACCUGGUUUAUUUGAGCAGCUACUAAAGACAGUGACUGUGCAAGAUGCAACCUCCAACCUCCCUACAGAAACCAUUUAAAUAAAAUCUAUAGCUAUUAACAAUGAAAAAUGGAGUACUCAAGUAGUUCAAAUUCCUCUUCACACUAAACAUUAAGAAUUACAAUACAAGGGCCGGAGCUGUGGUACAGCAGGUGAAAUUGCUGCUUUGAAAUUAUCCAUUUGCCAGUUUGAGUCCCAGUUGCCCCAUUUCCAAUACAGCUUACUGAUAAUGUACCUGGGAAGGCACAGAUGAUGGCCCUAGUACUUGGAUUCCUGCCACCCAUGUGGGAGACCUGUCUUCUGGUUUCACCCUGGUCUGACCCAGCUGUCACAGGCGUUUGGAGAGUAAAAAUGGGAUCUCUGUCACUCUGCCUUUCAAAUAUACAAACAACUUGGAAACUCUUCUGGUGUUUGUACUCCUCUUUCACAAAUCUCAGUUCUAUAGAGCACAGUAACUCACUUGGCACGCUGGCCUACGCCCGCCCCACUUUAUCCACUAUGGCCCUUUCUCAGGUCUUCACCCUUUUCCUUUUAUCUUUUCAAGGUCAAUUUCAUCUCUCAGAAAUUAUUCUACUUAUGUCAAACAUCUGUCACAUUCUUUUCUGUAAUUAUAAAUAUAAUUGGCUUUUAAACCACUUCUUCCAUUAAUAAGUUAGGAGAAGAUGGCCCAAGUCCUUGGACCCCUGCACCAGAUGAAGCUCCUGGCUCCAAACUGAUGCAGCUCCGGUCAUUGUGACCAUCUGGGGAGUGAAUCAGCAGAAGGAAGACCUUUCUCUCUCUCUCUGCCUUUCAAAUAAAAUAAAUAAAUCUUUUAAAAAAAUAUGAGGUAGGGACUAGAAUCUAAGCAAUCUGCAGUACUGUUUACUCUGUAUCACUUCAGGUUUGACAUUUAUUAAUAUAAGGACC